UUGAACGUGCCCCUGCUCACCUGUUUCCACUUCCUGAAUCAGCCCUGCAGCCCCUCUUCCACAGUCAGCUGACAUGUUGUCAGAGUGUUCAGGUGCUUGGUGCUGUUACUCUCUAGCUCUGGAAUCAAUCAGUUGAAACCUGGAAUCUGGAACUUGCCUGUUUUGAACCACAGCUGGAUCUGUUGGAUGUUGGAUCACUUGGCUGCAUCUUUGGAUUUUGUUGUUUGUUUUUCCCGUCUGGACUACUUUCCAGGUUUUGACCCUUGCCUGCCUCAUGACUCCUGUACCUGCCUGCCUAACCCAAAGGCAGAGCCAACGAGUUAAAAUACAUGCAGAGUUCACCAUCAUGUGUCUUCUGGACAGCAUUACAUAAAUGCCUGGAGA